rnacentral:rRNA from 1 species
CCCUUAGAUGUUCUGGGCCGCACGCGCGCUGCACUGAUGCAUUCAACAAGUUCUACCUUGGCCGAGAGGCCUGGGAAAUCUUUCAAAUAUGUAUCGUGAUAGGGAUAGAUUAUUGCAAUUAUUAAUCUUGAACGAGGAAUUCCUAGUAAAUGCAGAUCAUCAUUCUGCGUUGAUUACGUCCCUGCCCUUUGUACACACCGCCCGUCGCACCUACCGAUUGAAUGAUCCGGUGAAGCCUCGGGAUUGUGCCCAGAGAACUUUAUUGUGAUUUGGGUGUGAGAACUUGUCUAAACCUUAUCAUUUAGAGGAAGGUGAAGUCGUAACA